rnacentral:tRNA from 1 species
GCCCGCGUAGCUCAGCUGGAUAGAGCGUCUGCCUCCGGAGCAGAAGGUCGUGAGUUCGAAUCUCGCCGCGGGUAC